AAAGUCGAAGGAAAGAACGGUGGCUUCUGCAGAUGAUGUGUGCCUCUCUCUAAGGUUUUCGUUUCUCUGACUAAAAGGGGUUCUUGGGCUUUCAUGUGCUGCUUCAAUCCGGCAUGAUUUUAACGGCAAUGAUGCGGUUGUCGAGACAGUUAUUAACGAGGAGAUCAACGGUGAGCUUUGAUGGAGGUAUCGUUUUCAAUUGAUAAUCGGAUGGUUUAGAUUACUUUUGCCAGCUGUAGUUAGUUAUAGUUCAGUGUAUAAAAGAUGUAAUUUGUCACAAUUAUUGUAUGAUUUUUGAGGCUAUUGAAUGAAACUUAAGGUAUUAUUCGUUCUUCUUCUCUCUGUAUUGUCUUGAGUGCUUAUGUUGAUGAUAACAGUUUUGUUUUUAGGGUUCUUGGUGUUUGAUAGUUAAUUAUGCUUUCUCUGUGAUUCUGAUUGCUUAAAGUAGUUUAAUGGAUUCUCGGAGAAGUUCUUUUUGGUAUAUCUGUUGCUGGAGGUGUUGAAUUAGGUCCUCUGGAUUCUUGAGGACCACAUCAAUAUGAUCACGCUUUUGUGGCACGAUGCAUUUAAGACCAAGCAAAGGGCCAGUCAGCAGAACAUUCAUCUGGAGAAGGCGGCAGUGUUGUUUAAUUUGGGGGCAGUGUACAGUCAGAUUGGGUUGUCCUUUGAUCACGCCAUCAUGGAGGGGCGGCGGGAGGCAUCACGUGCAUUCAUUGUGGCAGCCGGAGCCUUUCCUUAUUUGAGAGAUAAUGUGUCCACAAAGGUGAGUAUGGGGAGCUCCAUGAUGCUGUAUAUCAGCCUCAUGUGCGCCAGAAUGUUGGAGAGAUUGAUGCUGGCCCAAGCUCAAGGGUGUGUGUUUGAGAAUAUGAUUGCUAAAGGGAGUACGCCUGGUGUUUGCACUAAAAUUUCUAGACAAGUUAGUGCUUUUUUUGAAGCUUUGAUUGAUUUAUUAAUUAAUCAAUUUAGUAAAUGUUUUUAUAUAUUGAAUUGUGAUGAAUUGAAAAACUAUUUCACAUAAGUUUAGAUUGUGUAAAUAUAUAGGUUUUACAGUGUUUAACUUUUAGGAUAUUAAAUAUAUAAAGACUGCAUAUAUAUUUGGAUUUUGUAGUGCAUGAUUUGUGAGGUUUAAGGUUAUGUUAUCUUAUUGAUCUGUCUGUUUUAAUAAUAAAAUUCGAGCAAUAUUAGUAGUGUAAGCUUCACUUGAACUGUGAUUAGUACGGUUAUGAAGGUGACUAGAGUUUUGAUGGUGAGUUUGUUGAUUUAAGAAUGAAAUUUUUUUAGGAAAGGUGAGGGAUAGUGUUGUUGGGAUUUUCCGGUGUGAUUUUGAUGUAAAAGCCAUUUUUUUUAUACUGUCUGUUACUGACAUAUCAGGCGUCAUUCUUGCCGGUAAGUAGUUCUUCUUCCUAAUUUGUUAAUUAUAUGCAAUUCUUACAUAUAUCGUAGUUAUCUGUCUUAAUCUUGAAAAAGUGAUUAAGUUGCUUCAUUCUGAUGUUUUAUCGGCCUGCUGACAUUUAUAAUUGCAGAGCACGUUUUAAUAUACGUGGAUCCCGAGUCAAGUCAUGCUGUUGUUGGUUGGGCUGCAAAAACCUUUUCAACAGCAGUGUUUUUCAUAUAUGAGCAGGUGGAAGCCGGGGCUCAGUUGCAGAGCACUUAGGAGGUAGCAGAGAGGGUGCUUUAGGCUGCUUAUCGAAGACAGCCACAGGCGUUGGAGAUUCUGCAAAUUUCUCAUCGUUGUUGGAAUAAAUCUGUUCAAGUCAUUUUGCGAAAGAUCUAACUGUAUCAAACUAUGCAAGUUACCCACCUCGGUAGGAAUGCUGCCAUUGAUCUUGCAAUUGCUUGCAGAAAAAAUCUCAAGAGUUGCAGAUAAAUUGCCGAUUGAAUGUGGGAUGACGCCAUACAGUGGAUUAUUAUCAAAGAUUAGAGCCUUUAGUUUCCUGCAAUUUGUCAAAGAAGACAGAAAGCUCCAUUCUGCAGUUGGUGAUUCAGUGGUGAUGUUAUUGGACCCAAGAUGAAGCACUUCGAGGAAUUUCAAGUUGCAAAAUGUAUUUGGAACAAGCCCAGAAAAUGAGUUAAAGGACAAAUCUAGCUUAACGAGGUUGGAAGCAUUGGUGAUGGAGGUGGGGAUAGUUCCAGUAAGUUCAUUUGCCCCUAAGUAAAGACCCUUCAAGUUGGGAACCCCAUGGCCAAUGGUUGAUGGUAGAUAGCCUGAAAGGUUAUUCCCAGGUAGACUAAUCCUAAUUAUGGUUGAAAUAUUGAAGAUUGAAGCUGGAAUUACACCACUUAAGCUGUUGAGACCCAGAAAUAGAUGUAGAAGAUUUUGCAAAUUGCCUAUCUCCUCUGGAAUUUCACCUGCUAAAAGGCAAACAUCUAAGUAACCGGGAAACUGAAAUAUUGAAACGUCUCAAAGAUAUGGGAAAGAGAAGCGCAUAAAUAUUAAAAUAUAAUGGUUAUAUAUAUUUUGAUUA